rnacentral:rRNA from 1 species
UCAGGAUGAACGCUAGCUACAGGCUUACACAUGCAAGUCGAGGGGCAGCAUGGUCUUAGCUUGCUAAGGCCGAUGGCGACCGGCGCACGGGUGAGUAACACGUAUCCAACCUGCCGUCUACUCUUGGACAGCCUUCUGAAAGGAAGAUUAAUACAAGAUGGCAUCAUGAGUCCGCAUGUUCACAUGAUUAAAGGUAUUCCGGUAGACGAUGGGGAUGCGUUCCAUUAGAUAGUAGGCGGGGUAACGGCCCACCUAGUCUUCGAUGGAUAGGGGUUCUGAGAGGAAGGUCCCCCACAUUGGAACUGAGACACGGUCCAAACUCCUACGGGAGGCAGCAGUGAGGAAUAUUGGUCAAUGGGCGAGAGCCUGAACCAGCCAAGUAGCGUGAAGGAUGACUGCCCUAUGGGUUGUAAACUUCUUUUAUAAAGGAAUAAAGUCGGGUAUGGAUACCCGUUUGCAUGUACUUUAUGAAUAAGGAUCGGCUAACUCCGUGCCAGCAGCCGCGGUAAUACGGAGGAUCCGAGCGUUAUCCGGAUUUAUUGGGUUUAAAGGGAGCGUAGAUGGAUGUUUAAGUCAGUUGUGAAAGUUUGCGGCUCAACCGUAAAAUUGCAGUUGAUACUGGAUAUCUUGAGUGCAGUUGAGGCAGGCGGAAUUCGUGGUGUAGCGGUGAAAUGCUUAGAUAUCACGAAGAACUCCGAUUGCGAAGGCAGCCUGCUAAGCUGCAACUGACAUUGAGGCUCGAAAGUGUGGGUAUCAACAGGAUAGA